rfam:Strigamia maritima strain Brora ctg7180001232100, whole genome shotgun sequence.
GAGUACUUCCAAGACUUGCGACUGAAGCUACAUACGGAGUUUUCAUAACUCAAACUUGCUUUAGGGAAAGUCCCUGGACCCCUACUAGAAAGUAGUGGGUGGCAAUCACCUUAUCCUAUCCCACCAUCCUGUCAAAUGGCUAGGAUCCAUCAGGGGAGCCAAGGAUGAGAUAGGUGUUAGUCAUAGAAUAUAGAAAUGCAAGUUGUCUGUAUAGACUAACUCAAUAGGGCUUACUCUGGAAGUUUCU